UUGAGUCAAAUGCUGCAC
rnacentral:miRNA from 1 species